rnacentral:rRNA from 1 species
UACGUAGGUGGCGAGCGUUGUCCGGAUUUACUUGGCGUAAAGGGAGCGUAGGCGGACUUUUAAGUGAGAUGUGAAAUACCCGGGCUCAACUUGGGUGCUGCAUUUCAAACUGGAAGUCUAGAGUGCAGGAGAGGAGAAUGGAAUUCCUAGUGUAGCGGUGAAAUGCGUAGAGAUUAGGAAGAACACCAGUGGCGAAGGCGAUUCUCUGGACUGUAACUGACGCUGAGGCUUGAAAGCGUGGGGAGCAAACAGGAUUAGAUACCCU